CCACUUCCCAGGGGGAACCACCUCCUUGUGGGGGCCAGGAAACAGGUCCACUGGGGUACCACUUCCUCCAGGGCCAGGAAACAGGCCCACUGGGGAACCACUUCCUCAGAGGAACCACUUCCUUCAGGGCCCAUAAACAGCUGGGGAACCACUUCCCAGGGGGAACCACCUCCUUGGGGGCCAGGAAACAGGCCCACUGGGGAACCACUUCCUCAGGGGAACCACUUCCUUCGGGGCCCAUAAACAGGCCCGCUGGGGAACCACUUCCCAGGGGGAACCACCUCCUUGGGGGCCAGGAAACAGGCCCACUGGGGUACCACUUCCUCCAGGGGGAACCACAUCCUUGGGGGCCAGGAAACAGGCCCGCUGGGGAACCACUUCCUCAGGGAUGGGGACCAGCUAGAAGGGGUGCUAGAGGAAAGAAUAGUGUUAAGGAAAAAAGAGACACUGCUCACUAUCAAAGCCAUCAAUACAGACGGGGAGGAGAAGAAAAGCUCCCCAGCCUAUCUCAUUGUACAGACACAUUUUUAAAGGGACUAGAAAAAAGUCCAAAGCUGAGGAAGAAGUGUUUCAGACAUUGAAAAAGCUUCCAGAAGGCACAAGAGAUGAUGUACAAGUUGCUGCAGCUCACCCCCUGGGCAUCUCCUACCCCCAAGAACGGUGACCCCACCACCCUGGAGCAGGGUUCUACUCCCUCAGCAUAGCAACAGGGGGUCCACAGAAGGGGUCCUUCCAUCACAACCUCAGCUCCGGGCUGCACAAAGGAUCUGGGGCCCUGUACCAUCAAACUUCUGCUGCUUUGGCAUCUCAGGCCCUCUUCCUGCCCGUGGGUCUCCUCCCCCAGAACCCAAGGCUGGACGUGGAGCAGAGGGAGACACCGAGGAGUCAUUAGGAUUGUAGGAGCCAUGGGGGCAUCCCUAGAUGUUCCAUUUCUUUCCAGAUGGAUGCACUCCAGACCUACUAAAUCGGCUUCUAUGUCCUUCAAAGAAUGGGUUCAAAGUAAAAGAGAAGCGUGGAAAGGGGGCUGAACCCUGUCUCCUGGAGCAAACCACAUCAUUUCUCCAGGAUAUCGGCUCCAGGAAGACUUUUGUCUGCCUGACUCACUAAAACUUGUUGGAGAAGUUCAGUGGGGCGACUCAGGAGAUCACCUUUUCCUUGGAGACGCUCCAGGGACGGCUUCUCUAUCCUAGAAGCCCACAGAGUCUCACUUUUCUAUCUUAUUUGCCACUGCAGGUUGCCCAGAGGUUAGGCCCAGGUACCCUGGUUGACUCCUUCUAAAAGACACUGAGCAAGUCAUGUUCUGGAACAUAAAACCUCAGCCAUAAAGAAGAUCUAAGAACAGAAGCUACCCUGAAAUGUGGUUAAGGCUGAAGCUGAAUGUUUCUGCCAGAAUUCGUGGAGACUCUCAGGUACUCAUCUUUAAAAUGCAGUCGGAAGCCAGAGAUUCCAGAGGACAGGAUGCUCACGCUCCAUCCCUUACCUGCUCCCAGAUGUACCAGCCUUUGUGCCAAUUCAUUCUCCCUCUAGUAAAGCAGCCCCCGUGCAUCUGGCUAACUCCUCCCUGUCCUUCCUUCCAGAAGUUGUUCCUAAUGAUCCCACUGCCCCACCCCCAGGGAACUGCUGCCUGGUAUUGGAUAGCAACCUGUGCCUCCCCACUGCUUAAUCACAGCUUAUGAUACUUACCUGUCUAACUCUAGACUGGACUGUGAGAGCCCCACGAAAGCAAGGGAUUGCCAUUCUUCUGCUCACUACUCUCCGCAUCACCAAGCACAGUGCCUGAUGUAGAACGAGGAUCAGUAAAUCUUAGUUCACUGGGAUGUCCUCCACACUCCCCAUAGGGAGCCCAAGACCCCCAUCAGCCUCCACAAAUACUGACAACCAACAGACGUUCAUUGAACACCAGUCCUGCCUCACCCGCUCAGAGGGAUUCUUAACUCUCCUGCAUGGCUGAAGUUGUGGAGACCUUGAUUAAGACUAGAGAAACGGGUGGUUUAUACAUUUCUUCUGCCUGAAGUUUCUUCCAAUGACUCUCCAUCAUCUUUCCAAUUUUCCUGGAUAUUUUAUUAGCAGUAAAGUUCAUCUUUCUCAACCUUU